rnacentral:rRNA from 1 species
CGGGUGAGUAACACGUGGAUAACCUACCUAUAAGACUGGGAUAACUUCGGGAAACCGGAGCUAAUACCGGAUAAUAUUUUGAACCGCAUGGUUCAAAAGUGAAAGACGGUCUUGCUGUCACUUAUAGAUGGAUCCGCGCUGCAUUAGCUAGUUGGUAAGGUAACGGCUUACCAAGGCAACGAUGCAUAGCCGACCUGAGAGGGUGAUCGGCCACACUGGAACUGAGACACGGUCCAU